AAGUCUCGCCCCAUUCCGAGUCUGGCGGACGAACUUCGCCCGCGCCCCCCACCAAGGCUAUAGCCCACCCGUUUUUUGGCCAUUUUUCCGCUGGGGGGUUUUGGCACCACGACCUUCGGGCGCUUAUUUUUGGGCGCGGCUUUGCCCACGGCUUAUUUUUGGUGCCCCGAGGCCCUGCGCAAAGUCUCGCCCCAUUCCGAGUCCGGCGGACGAACUUCGCCCGCGCCCCCCACCAAGGCUAUAGCCCACCCGUUUUUUGGCCAUUUUUCCGCUGGGGGGUUUUGGCACCACGACCUUCGGGCGCUUAUUUUUAGGCGCGGCUUUGCCCGCGGCUUAUUUUUGGUGCCCCGAGGCCCUGCGCAAAGUCUCGCCCCAUUCCGAGUCCGGCGGACGAACUUCGCCCGCGCCCCCCACCAAGGCUAUAGCCCACCCGUUUUUUGGCCAUGUUUCCGCUGGGGGGUUUUGGCACCACGACCUUCGGGCGCUUAUUUUUGGGCGCGGCUUUGCCCGCGGCUUAUUUUUGGUGCCCCGAG
rnacentral:lncRNA from 1 species